UGUGUGUGUGUGUGUGUGUGUGUGUGCGAGCUCUAUACCUACAUACACACACACACACACACACACACACACACAUGCACACAC
rnacentral:miRNA from 1 species